AACUUUCUGUACAAAACUGUUUUUCACACACUUUUCUUAUAAACUCAUAGUUUGAUGUAAGUAAUCACAGCUGUCAUUUUUUCCAUUCUUAUUUCAAGAGCUUUAUGUAAUUUUAAAAAUAAAUGUUUAAAUGAACAUAACCAUUAAUGUUGCUCCUCCAUCUUUGUUCUCUCAUCUGUUAUUCUGAAACUGUUCAUACUGUCUAUAGUUUCACCUGUAAAUGUUUAAUACAUAAUACUCAUAAGAAUAGCAUUUCUUAUUUUUAUUUUAACUAUGUAAUAUGUUGUUGUGUUCAUCACCUCCCCAGCACCUGGAAUCAACAGCCCGUGUUCUACUCAAUAUGUAAAUGUGGAGAUUUCACAAUCGGUUAGUUCUGAGUCUAUUAUUAAUAGACUCAGAACUAAAACCUUUAGCAAAGUCAUGAGAAGCCAUGUAAAAUCGUUGUGAUAACACAUGUAAACUGAUCUGAGAUAUUUAAAUGUGCACUCUGUUUCUCUUACUGGCAUAAGCGCACCUCACACCUGGUGUCUGCAAUGCACCGUUGCUCUUGGCUCUGUUUCACUUCUGCAUUUUGGUACUUUUUUGGGAUCUGGGUGUUACUCAAUGCUUCCGCUUGCUGCUAGCUGUGAUCACUCUGCCCUGUCAUUCUGCGGCAUCUGUGCAACAGACUUCCAGCCCCAUCGCCUCCAUCUCCACCUGACUUUAUAACACCAGACACUGUAAAAGUACAACUCUGCCAUCUAGCCGAAAUACAGAGACAUUACACUUAGAAUUGUUUACAAAAUCUGAAGGACUGCGGGUUGUCUCUCCAAACAUCACAUUACAUCCUGUGUGGGAAGGUGAAAUCGGGGCCUCACCUGUCAGACUCCUCUGCACCCUAAGUGGCUUCUUUCCAGACCAACUGAGUGUGAUGUGGCAACGGGACAACCAAUCUCUAAACAUUGUGCAAACCCAAAGGAAGCUGCAGAGUGUGAAGGGAGUGGAGAAAACCUUCAGUCUAAGCAGUGAGAUUGAGCCAAAUAUGAAACAGUGGACAGGUGGCUCAAAUUUUACAUGCUGGUCCACUCAUAUCGACAGUGAAUUUCAUAAAACAAUAAGUAUUUGUCAAACACAGACAAGCGCCCCUCCUUCUGUUCAUGUGGAGGUUCCCAGCUUCAAGACAGUAAUGGAGUCAACGUCUGAUGUGAAGGCAACGUGUUCAGUCCGCACAGUGUUUGAUGCCAACGUGACCUGGCUGAUGGAUGGGCAACCCCCAUCCAGUAACCAAGUGAACCAGGUCACAAAUACAACUCAUUUAAUAAGCACUCUGACGGUUUCCUCGAGUCAGUGGAAACAACUGAAGCUUCUGAAAUGUAAAGUUGAACAUCGCUGCUUCUCAUCCACUGAGGAGACAAUAAAUGUUGCAGCGCCUGCAGUUACAGCUCCAUCAGUGGAGAUCAGGAGAUCUCUCCCAGAUUUGCUGAAGGGAAACAGUUCUGUGCUGGAGUGUGACGUCACACAACUCUCCUCCAGUGACCUCUACAUCACCUUUCAGGCCAACAGUGUUGACAUCUCUGACAAACAGUAUGUUGAUCUUCCCGAAGCCCCAGGCCUCCAUUCAGUCAGUAGACGCUUCACUGUCCCUCCAAACUACUGGAAGAGAGACACAAGUUUCACCUGCAAAGUGAAUCAAGGUUUCUCCAGCAGCUUCAAGUCAAACCCCACUGGCAAUAUUUUUGUGGACCCAUCAGUGGAGCUCCUUCUGGUCCCCAAUAAAGAGUCAGGACCACAGAGGAUCUUGUGCUCUGGAUGGGGCUUCAACCCUCAAAUUAAAUGGUUUCCUGAGUCUCAGCAAGCAUCUCCAUCAACGAAUGACAUCAGCAUGAGUGCAGAUGGACGUGUGGCAGUAACCAGUCAACUUCACAUCCCUCAGACAGAGUGGAAAACAGGGAAGGUCUUCACUUGUUUAGUGUCUGACAAGUCUCUGAGUAAAACAGUUGAAAAGAACAUCAGCAUCUGUUCAGUAACUCCAGCAUCAUCUCAGAUAGUUGCUGUAUAUGUUCAGGGACCACCCCUCCAGGAUCUUCAGAGAAAGGGACAGGUGACUCUCACCUGUCUUCUGGUUGGCCCUUCUCUUGAUGAUUUCUCCAUCACCUGGAAAGUAGGUGGGAACAAAUAUUCUCUUAAUGUCCAUACGGAGCCACCAGUGAGUCACAGCAAUGGGACGGAGUCUUUGCGGAGCUUCCUCAAAGUGUCAGCGGAGGAUUGGCAUGCAUAUAAACAAGUGUCUUGUGAGGGGAAGCACCGAUGUUCCAACCAGGGCUACCAGGACCAUAUAAGCAAAAGCAGAGACCUGUACCCACCAACAGUGAAAAUAUUACAACCAACUGCCUCUGAGCUGUCUACCUCAGAUGUGCUCACACUUAUUUGUCUAGUUUCUGGAUUUUUCCCGUCUAACAUCAUGGUGUACUGGGAGGAGAAUGGCCAGAGACUCCUUUCAGCUCGCUACACCAACAGUCCUGCCUGGAAAUACACAGAGAGCAGCGCUUAUUCAAUGAGCAGCAGACUAAACACAUCCAAAACUGAGGACAAGGAGUCUACAUAUUCUUGUGUUGUCAGACAUGAGUCCUCUGAAACGCCGUUUGAAAGCACUAUAAAGGAUGUUUUUGCCACAGUGACCUACAGCCAACCUUCAGCCACCUUGCUCCAGGGCUCUGGUGAACUUGUGUGCCUGGUCUUCGGCUUCAGCCCUGCAUCUAUUAGCAUCACUUGGUUUUCUGGUGACACCAAGGAACUGUUGGACUACAACACUAGUGAACCCAUCAGAGGCCCAAAUGGAAAGUUCAGCAUCCAAAGCCACCUUCGUCUGUCCCAUGGCAACUGGUUCCCUGGGGCAGUCCUCACCUGCAGGGUGACACAUGAGAACACCACCCAAUCCCUGAAUAUAUCUAAACCAGGCACGUUGGAGGGCUGUCAUUUCUUAGAUGAGAUUAUGCAUGCUGAUGUGAACCAAGACACAGAUGUGGAAAGCUGGUAUAUGGCUUUCACUUUCCUCUUUUUUUUCCUCAUCUCCGUCAUCUAUGGUGUCUUGGCUACUGUGAUUAAGACUAAAUGAUGAUGACUCCAGGACAGAUUAAUGAUCCAAAUGGGAACAUUUGAGGAUUUUUGAUGGUCUUACUUGAUGUAAACUGUAAUUAAUUAAUUUUUCUUUUUACAUUUGUAUAAUAUUUUAGAAAUGAUUCAUACUGUAUUAAUUUCUUUUUUGUUUCAGUCACUUUGAGAUUCAAAUACAAGUGUAACAAAUAUUCUGUCACUGGACUCAUUCACGCAUUCAGCAAAAUAAAGAUUUAAAUUUGGAAAACAAA